GAGCCUUUGGUGAAAGCUAAUUCUUGUUAUGAAAAAUACUUUUUCAUAACAAGAAUUAGUUUUUAUCCAAAGGGCUCAUAAAGUUUUUAAGGCAUUGCCUUAUAGAGUUACAGGCUCUGCUCUUCCAAAAGGUAUUUUAGGGGUCCUUCUGCAAGAUGUAAUUCAACUUUAAUCAUAGCCAGUGGAUGGAGGGGACUUAGUCAUCCCCUCUGGGUCCACUUUAACAAGAAAGGGCAGACUGAUCCAGCCAGUCCACCAGAUAGAAGAUCCUUCUGACCUCAUCCUCUCAUGCAUGAUAUUGCUAUAGCAACUGGUAAUAGCAAAUAAGAAAAAAGCAGCAUCAAGCACUGCAUCUUUUCUGGUCCUGAAAGAUCAGAAAAGAUACAAUAGAACCUCUUGCUAAGGAGGAAUCUUGAUAGUUCAGCUCACCCAUGUUAAAGUUGACAGCUGGCUGAGUGCAGUUACAUCCAAAUUCCUUGCAUGUAUCCGCAACUCUAACACAGCUAGGUCUAGGAAAAAUAUCACUUAUAGUGAUGGGAUGAGCACACAAGGAACAUACCAUCCCUGUUGUUAUGUGACUGUUGACAAUCAAAAAGAGAUGAGAGAUGAUUUCCACUUUGUAUCCUGAUGCAGUGGCCAUGUUCUGAUACUUUGUCAUGGCUGAAUACCACUUGGGGCAAUUUUACAAGGUUUUGCAUUCUCUCUAGGGAUGCAAACUUUCCUCAAUAUGGGGAUGAAUCCCCUACAGUUUCAAUAGUGUCCAUCUGGGAAGUGUCUCCACCAUCCCAAGACUAUGUACCAUCCUUCCAUAAUUCAUUCCAUCAGCCUGAUAUGCCAUCUUGAGGUUUGAGAUCCUUUUUGAGAAUACACUGCACAUAUUUUAUAAACCCCAUUAUUAUGAGAAUACAGUGUUUUCAUUAUUGAGAUAGGAAAAGAUAUUUCAUUGACAUUUAAAAAUAAAAAUCUCUCUUCAAUCAACUUUGACACAAGCCAUGCAUAUAGAAUCAUCCGUUUAAAUAUAGAGGCAUUUAAUUG
rnacentral:lncRNA from 1 species